GAAGUGACUAGAUUCUUUUUUUCUUGAGAUUCUGGCAAUUCCAAGAGAAUCACGCGAGUGAUGAAAAUAAAAAUAUAGACAUGAAGAUGAAUUUUGGCUUGAAAAUUGUAGAAUAUUUAUUAUAUUCGAGGAUUGGAAAAAGAAUUCUAGAAGAAUCACAGAAUAGAUGGAAAUAAAAAUAUACGUAUGAGACAGGAAUACAUGAUGAUAUAACUUCGCUCGAAAGUUGUGAGAUAUCUAUUUCUUCGAAAAUUCGAAAAAAUUAAGAUUAUUUAAUUUCAUAUUUUCGAUAGAUUCAUAAUUGAAUUUUGACGAGAUAUGUAAAAGAUGUAUUAUUUAUUAAUAAGAAAAAAUUAAGUAGAUAUUAACAAGUAUUGAUCUAUGGAAUCAAAUAGUUAAUAUAUAUGUAUUUAAAUAAUCCAUUUCCAGAAAAAUAGUAUGAUAUUUAAAACUAUCAAAUCGAAUGCAAAGUAUAUAUUAAUUCUACAGGAUUCUGAAAAGUGAUGUAAUCCAUAGAAAAUUAAUCGACUAAAAAUAUACAAAGGAUGAAUUUA